rnacentral:rRNA from 1 species
AUUGAACGCUAGCGGGAUGCCUUACACAUGCAAGUCGAACGGAGUGGCGAACGGGUGAGUAAUGUAUCGGAAGGUGCCCAGUAGCGGGGGAUAACUACGCGAAAGCGAACCUAAUACCACAUACUAUUGGGGCGGCCGAUAUCGGCUUAGCUGGAUGGUGGGGUAACGGCUCACCAAGGCGACGAGCCGUAGCCGGGUUGAGAGGACGACCGGCCACACUGGGACUGAGACACGGCCCAGACUCCUACGGGAGGCAGCAGUGGGGAAUUUUGGGCAAUGGGGGAAACCCUGACCCAGCAAUCCCGCGUGUGCGAUGAAGGCUUUCGGGUUGUAAAGCUCGUUUGGCAGGAAAGCGGUACCUGCAGAAUAAGCACCGGCUAACUACGUGCCAGCAGCCGCGGUAAUAC